GCCUUCGUAGUGUAACGAUAGCACACUUGAUGCGUAUUCUAGAGAUCCAGGUUCAAGUCCCGGUGAAGGCA
rnacentral:tRNA from 1 species